rnacentral:ncRNA from 17 species
UAGCCAAGCUAGGGGUGCCUGACCUGAAAUCAGGCUGAGAUAGUCCCUUAGAACCUGAUUUAAACUGACUCUUAGCCCUCGCAAGAGCCUCGAUACCCUCAGAUCGGGUCUCAGCUUUGAGCCAGUUUACUGGGUAAUACCAGCGGAGGGAAGCUGUUUAUUCGAGGA